rnacentral:rRNA from 1 species
GACGAACGCUGGCGGCGCGCCUAACACAUGCAAGUCGAACGGAGUCAAGAGGAGCUUGCUUUUCUUGACUUAGUGGCGAACGGGUGAGUAACGCGUGAGUAACCUGCCCUGGAGUGGGGGACAACAGUUGGAAACGACUGCUAAUACCGCAUAAGCCCACGGAUCCGCAUGGAUCUGCGGGAAAAGGAUUUAUUCGCUUCAGGAUGGACUCGCGUCCAAUUAGCUAGUUGGUGAGGUAACGGCCCACCAAGGCGACGAUUGGUAGCCGGACUGAGAGGUUGAACGCACACUUGGGGAUGGGACCAGGGCCCAGCCCCCCACGGGGGGCGGAAGUGGGGUAUUGUGACCAAGGGGGGAACCCCGGGGCCCGCGCCCCCGGGUGGGGAAAGAAGGUUUUCGAAGUGAAACCUCCUUUCGUUAGGGCGGAUAGGGACGGUACCAAAAAAAAAACCCCCGGCUAACCACG